AUGGUUUGGAUGCCUAGAGCUUGCAAUGACAUCAAUGUGCUCCACCGAUCAACACUAUUUGCACUGUUAUCCAAUGAGGAAUCACCACCGGUGGAGUUUCAAGCAGAUGACCACACAUACAAGGGGUACUACCUAGCAGGUGGGAUAUACCUAAAGUGGGCAACCUUUGUGAUGCCAUUUCCCAGCCCCCAAGGUAAGAAACAACUUGGUUUCCAUGUGCUCAAGCAGAUGCUAGGAAGGAUGUGGAGAGGACAUUUGGGAUUUUGCAAGCCCAGUUUGCUAAUUUGCAAGGACCGGCUCGGUUUUUGGAGCAAGAAAUCCUUUAGUACAUCAUGA
rnacentral:rRNA from 1 species